CCUCAGACCUGCAGUCACCAGACCUCCUGCUCACCUGUAUCCACUUAUCGCCCUUUGUUCUUCUGUUGUUUUUUAUUUCCGUGCUUGCUGUUCCCAGCCUGCUCUUCAGGACUCUUCUAACGCGGCUACCAGUGGUGAUGAAUCCACGCUAAUAAAAACGCUGCGACACAAACGUCGAUGGCACAUUCUCGCAGCGAGCACUGUGUUGCUCUGCGCCAGCACCCCUUGGUGCCCCUCUGCAGUUUGCCUCUUCCCAUGCUGGCAUUUUUAAGCACUACGCAGAUCAGUGAGGACAGAGACCUCCCCGACACACUGAACCAAGCCCAAGGCGGAGCAGACACUCCCCUAGCACCACCAGCAAAGACUACCGCCCAGUCGCCGUGACCCAAGUGCUUCCAGAGGAUGAUGCUAUCACACGUCAAGAACAGACUCCCAGCUGACGUGGGCAGCCACCACUUUGCGUACCGAGCAAACCGAUCUGCAGAGGACGCGGCCUCCAUCACACUUCACACAGCGCUGUCUCACAUGGAGCACCCGAACACGUAUGUAAGGAUGCGCUUCAUUGAAGCUCUGCCCUCAAUACCAUCACCCCCCCCUUGAAGUGAUGCAUAAACUCAAAACACCUUGGACUAUCUACAUCGCUCUGUCCAUGGAGACUGGACAGACCACAGAAUGUGAGUAUAGGGAACCUGACAUUAACCAUCCUGAACACUGGAGCGCUGCAGACCUGUUUCUCCAACACGAUAGAAACGCACUGCAGAGAGGAGGGCCAACGUCUGGCUGAUCACAUCACACCUGGUGAAGAAAGCCCAGCAGAGGCUCUUCUUCCUGAGGAAGCUAAAACAAGCAGGCCGUCCCCCUGAAGUUCUAGUUAACUUCUACAGAAGUGUGAUAGAAAGUCCGUGAUUUACUGUGUGAAGCUGCACAGCAGAGAACAGCACACCGUGAAUGUGUGACACUGUGUGUGCCGGCCGCCUUCAGAAGAAGAUUCAGGACUAUUAAAACCCGGACUAACAGGCUGAGGAACUGCUUUUUCCCCACAGCCGCUUCCUCCAUCAUCACCACCACGAUUGAACCUUUUGAUGCUUAUGAUCAAACCAGCUUGACCUUUUUAACAGAAGGAUCUGAGCACUGUGAGGUGAUGUUCUGACAUUUUGAAAUCCGAUUAGUCUGGAAAUGUGUUCUCAAUGAUAGGACACAUUUUUCAAACGACUUUUGAAAUACAGUUUGUAUAAGGUCAUUAAAAAAAUAAAAAUAAUAAUUGCU
ensembl:lncRNA